UACUGGACAGACCGGAACCACCUGCUGGACCUGCCUGAACCACCUGCUGAGCACACCAGAACAACCAGCUCGACUCACUGUAGCCACCUGCUGGACACGCCAAAAUCACCAGCCGGCUAUGCCAGAACCACUUGCCGGACACUCCAGAAUCACCUGCCGGGCAUGCUGGAGCCACCUCUCAGACGUGCCACAACCACGUGCCGGAGAGACCAGAAGCACCUGCUGAGCUUCCCGGAACCACCUUCUGGACACGCCGGAACCACCUGCCUGACAUGCCAAAAUCACGUGCCGGCUAUGCCAACAGCACUUGGUAGACACUCCAGAAUCAGCUUCCGUGCAUGCCGGACCCACGUCAUUGACAGACUGCAAACACCGGCCGGACCUGCCUGAACCACCUGCCGAUCACGCCGGAACCACCUGCUCGACUCGCCACAACGACCUGCCAGACACACCAAAAACACCUGCAGGCUAUGCCAGAACCACUCGGCAGACACUCCGGAAUUGCCUGCCGGGCAUGCCGGAACCACCUCAGACGUGCCAGAACCAUGUGCCGGACACCCCGGAACCACCUGCCGAGCAUGUCGGAACCACCUCUCAGACGUGCCAGAACCACAUGCCGGACAUGCCGGAACCACAUGCCGAGCAUGCAGGAACCACCUGCUCGACUCGCAGGACCCACCUGCCGGACACGCGAAAAUCACCUGCUGGCUGUGCCAGAACCACUUGCCUGACUUUCCGGAAUCACCUGCUGGGAAUGCCGGACCCACCUCUCAAAUGUGGCAAAAUCAAGUGCCGGAGACACCAGAAGCACCUGCCGAGCUAGCCGGAAGCACCUGCUCGAAUCGUCGGAACCACCUGAGGGACAUGCCAAAAUCACCUGCGGGCGACGCCAGAACCACUUGGUGGACAAUCCGUAAUCACCUGCCAGACAUGCCCGAACCACCUGUCAGACGUGGCAGAACCACAUGCCGGACAAGCCGGAAUCACCUCACGGACAGACCGGAAACACCUACUGGACCUGCCUGAACCACCCGCCGAGCAUGCCAGAACCACCUACCGGACACGCCAAAAUCCACUGUGGGCUAGGCCAGAACCACUCGGAGGACUCUCCGGGAUCACCUGCCGGGCAUGCCAGAACCACCUCUCAGAAGUGCCAGAACCAUUUGCGGGACAUGCCGCAACCACCUACCGGACACAAUGGAACCAACUGCUGGUCAGGCCUGAACGAACUGCCGAGCAUGCAGGAACAACCAGCUCGACUCGCAGGACCCACCUGCUGGACACGCAGAAAUCACCUGCUGGCUAUGCCAGAACCACUUGCCGGACUUUCCGGAAUCACCUGCCGGGACUGAUGGAACCACCUCUCAAAUGUGCGAAAAUUAAGUGCCGGAGACGCCAGAAGCACCUGCUGAGCUAACCGGAAGCCCAAGCUCGAAUGGUCGGAACCACCUGUGGGACACGCCAAAAUCACCUGCUGGCUAUGCCAUAACCACUUGGUGGACAAUCCGGAAUCACCUGCCAGACAUGCCAGAACCACCUGUCAGACGUGCCGGAACCACGUACCAGACACGCCGGAACUGCCUCCCAGAAAGACCGGAACCACCUACCGGACCUGCCUGAACCACCUGCUGAGCAUGCCGGAACUACCUGCCGGACACACCAAAAUCAUCUGCGGGCUACGCCAAAACCACUUGGUGGACACUCCAGAAUCACCUUCCAGGCAUGCCGAAACCACGUCAUGGACAGAUGCAAACACCUGCCGGACCUGCCUGAACCACCUGCCGAGCACUCCGGAACCACCUGCUCGACUCGCCAGAACCACCUGCCGGACUCACCAAAAACACCUGCGGGCUAUGCCAGAACCACUUGGAGGACUCUCCGGGAUCACCUGCCAGGCAUGCCGGAACCACAUUUCAGACAUGCCAGAACCAUGUGCCGGACACGCCGGAACCAGCUGCUGAGUAUACUGGAGCCACCUCUCAGACGUGCCGUAAGCACGUGCUGGACACUCUGGAACCACCUACUGGACAGACCGGAACCAGCUGCCGGACCCGCCUGAAGCACCUGCUGAGCACACCGGAACAACCUGUUCGACUCGCUGGAGCCACCUGCUGGACACGCCAAAAUCACCAGCCAGCUAUGCCAGAACCACUUGCCGGACACUCUGGAAUCACCUGCAGGGCAUGCUGGAACCACCUCUCAGAUGUGCCAGAACCACAUGCCGCAGACUCCGGAAUCACUACCAAGCAUGCCAGAAUGACCUCCUAGACGUGCCAGAACCAUGUGCUGGACACGCCAGAACCACCUGCCGAGUAGCCGGAACCACCUCAUCCACUCCCCAGAACCACCUGCUGGACACGCCAAAAUCACCUGCUGGCUACGCCAGCACCACUUGCCAGACACUCCAGAAUCACCUGUCGGGCAUGCCGGAACCACCUCUCAGACGUGCCAGAACCACGUGCUGGACAUGCCGGAACCAACUCCAGGACAGACCAGAACCACC
ensembl:lncRNA